UUAUUAUUAUUAUUAUUAUUAUUAUUAUUAUUAAUUUAAAAUCCCAAACAAUUAAACAUGCACACAACAUGAACACAAUAUAUUUAUAUUUAAGUAUUACCAACUACUUAUCCAAAAAUAAGUAAUAAAUCCAAAACAUAACCUAACCAAGACCAAGUUAUCACUACUACCUACACUUGCAAGCAUAUAAGUGAAUUGAUCUUCACAUACAAAAAGGGGAAUAAAUCCCAUUCAAUUCUUGCAUAAAAAAAAGUCAAUAUCCUAACUAAGAAAACAAUAUCAGCCACAUCAUCAUUAUCAUCAGCCACAUCAUCAUUACUAUCAGCCACAAUAUCUUCAUGAACUUCAUCUCUAGUAUAUGGCUUCGGCCGAAAGUUUAAGCUUUCCAUCAAUU
rnacentral:lncRNA from 1 species